CCUACGGGCGGCUGCAGUGAGGAAUAUUGGUCAAUGGACGAGAGUCUGAACCAGCCAAGUAGCGUGAAGGAUGACUGCCCUAUGGGUUGUAAACUUCUUUUAUAUGGGAAUAAAAUGUUCCACGUGUGGGAUUUUGUAUGUACCAUAUGAAUAAGGAUCGGCUAACUCCGGGCCAGCAGCCGCGGUAAUACGGAGGAUCCGAGCGUUAUCCGGAUUUAUUGGGUUUAAAGGGAGCGUAGGUGGAUUUUUAAGUCAGUUGUGAAAGGUUGCGGCUCAACCGUAAAAUUGCAGUUGAAACUGGCAGUCUUGAGUACAGUAGAGGUGGGCGGAAGUCGUGGUGUAGCGGUGAAAUGCUUAGAUAUCACGAAGAACUCCGAUUGCGAAGGCAGCUCACUGGACUGCAACUGACACUGAGGCUCGAAAGUGUGGGUAUCAAACAGGAUUAGAUACCCCAGUAGUC
rnacentral:rRNA from 1 species